UACAGAGGGUGCAAGCGUUGUUCGGAAUUAUUGGGCGUAAAGGGCGCGUAGGCGGUUCGGCAAGUCUCUAGUGAAAUCUCAGGGCUCAACUCUGAGUCUGCUGGGGAAACUGCCGGGCUUGAGUGUGGGAGAGGAGAGUGGAAUUCCCGGUGUAGCGGUGAAAUGCGUAGAUAUCGGAAGGAACAUCAGUGGCGAAAGCGACUUCCUGGACCAGUACCGACGUUCAGGCACGAAAGCGUGGGGAGCAAACAGG
rnacentral:rRNA from 1 species